UCACCGGGAGUAAAUUUACGAU
rnacentral:miRNA from 1 species